rnacentral:lncRNA from 1 species
ACUAGUUGAGCAUGAUUCAAGGCUUAGCUUGCUAGCUGGUGGUAAGUGCUGGACAGUCUACUAUUAGAAAAUUGGUUGGGCUGUGAUUGUAUCUAACUGGAAAAUACUUGAUCUUAAAAGUGGUGGGAAGCUGUGCCUCCAUGCAAACUCACCAACAAGGAACACCUCCAAGACCUAGUGUUUGCAACUUCUCAACUGAAUAGCAACAUUCAGGGCAUUUCCACACUGUAUGAUGGGAUGGAAAUAGUUUGAGUUGGAGAACAUUAGUAGCACCUUCUAGAGGCUUGGAGAAGACAUUUGUGCUAUGGGUUCAAGCCUUGAGGAGAUAAAUUCAGGUAAUUGAAUGUGCUCACUGUAGGUGUGGCCAGCAGCUUUGGGUCCAUGAGCUUACCAAAAAAGGGCAAAAGGUCCAAGGCAUGAACUUAAGGUGGUACACAUGAUGCAAAGGGGACAUUUCAGCACAAUAUGAUGCAGUAUCUUUUUUUGCAGUGUUAAAUCAAACCUGGGACCAAGUUCUCUAAUAAUCAUUGCAGUACUUUUAGUAUGCUAAAUUGUGGUACACAAAGUAAGUGAAUAUCUUGGAAAAUUAUUGUGCAAUUACCACCCGGAAGGAUAUUAUGCAGGAAAAUUACAGCCCAAUUCUUUCUUGAGGAAGUUCUGUAUCAGUGAGAGAAUAUAUGAAACAAUUCUGCACUCCUAUAUUAGCAUAUGAGAUCUAUCAUGUUUGUGGAGGGCUGGAAGUCAUAGGCUGAAGUCAACCUUGCUUGAGCAUGAU